AGUGAACGCUGGCGGUAGGCCUAACACAUGCAAGUCGAACGGCAGCACAGUAAGAGCUUGCUCUUACGGGUGGCGAGUGGCGGACGGGUGAGGAAUACAUCGGAAUCUACUUUUUCGUGGGGGAUAACGUAGGGAAACUUACGCUAAUACCGCAUACGACCUACGGGUGAAAGCAGGGGAUCUUCGGACCUUGCGCGAUUGAAUGAGCCGAUGUCGGAUUAGCUAGUUGGCGGGGUAAAGGCCCACCAAGGCGACGAUCCGUAGCUGGUCUGAGAGGAUGAUCAGCCACACUGGAACUGGGACACGGUCCAGACGCCUACGGAAGGCAGCAGUGGGGAAUAUUGGACAAUGGGCGCAAGCCUGAUCCAGCCAUACCGCGUGGGUGAAGAAGGCCUUCGGGUUGUAAAGCCCUUUUGUUGGGAAAGAAAAGCAGCAGGUUAAUACCCCGCUGUUCUGACGGUACCCAAAGAAUAAGCACCGGCUAACUUCGU
rnacentral:rRNA from 1 species